UCUCUGGUUCUUCUACGCGGCGCCCCCAACCUCCAGCCACCAAGGCGGUAUCAGAACAACCACCCGGCCUGAUGCCAACCCUUCCCGCAGAGCUUGGCCAUUACGAAACUCCCAGCCUCAGUGUCCCGUUCUGUAAAUCGGACCCAGUGGACUCAGUGAAAAGGGUGACCCCCUGUAACUCUCAUCUCUGCUGCGCCCUGUGCCCCGCCCCACAUCCACGCGCCUCUCAGCAGCCUCCCUGCAGCCCGCCCGCUCGCCAGGCCUCUCUGCUCAACGCCGGCAUCUGGGAGGACAUCGCGCUUGCCCUAACGGGGCUCACACCGGCGCGUCCCCGCCAGACUGCAAGCACCGCUCCCAGACCCAACCCCUGGCUGCCGUUUCCAGUGCCAGGGAAGACGCGGCCUCACGUCCCAGUGAAAUAAUCGCUCCAUCAACGCCUGCGGGACAAGAGCCUUGUGUCCCCAGAGUGGCCAGCGCAGUGCCGCCCACAGGGGCCUGAGGGAGCGCUUGCUGACUGGACAGAAGCUCCGAUCCCUCAGCGCCUCGGGCCCUCUUUGGCAAGGGCAGUGCCCGUUCGGCUUGUACCAAGAGAAGACUCUGACCCCACGGCCGCCAGGGCAGAUGGCCCUGGAUGCGGAUGGUGUGUCACCCCGUCAGCCUGGGGGGCCGAAUCCGGGAGGCGGGUGGCGCCAGUGAAGACCCUGGAAGCCCUCGCUUCACUUCUCAUGCUCUGACUCAAGGCUGGCUUGUACCCUUAUUUUGUUUUUGUUUUGUUUUUGUUUUUAUUAAAUAAAAGGAACAGAGGAGGAGGGCUACUGUGGCCUCCCAGGCCUGGGGCCCAGCCAGCCCUCACUCUGUUCAAGGUGCA